UACGUAGGGCGCAAGCGUUGUCCGGAAUUAUUGGGCGUAAAGGGCGCGUAGGCGGCCUGCUAAGUCGGACGUGAAAUCCCUCGGCUCAACCGGGGAACUGCGUCCGAUACUGGUGGGCUCGAAUCCGGGAGAGGGAUGUGGAAUUCCAGGUGUAGCGGUGAAAUGCGUAGAUAUCUGGAGGAACACCGGUGGCGAAGGCGGCAUCCUGGACCGGUAUUGACGCUGAUGCGCGAAAGCCAGGGGAGCAAACGGG
rnacentral:rRNA from 1 species